CCUACGGGGGGCAGCGGUGGGGAAUAUUGCACAAUGGGGGAAACCCUGAUGCAGCGACGCCGCGUGAGUGAAGAAGUAUUUCGGUACGUAAAGCUCUAUCAGCAGGGAAGAAAAUGACGGUACCUGAAGAAGAAGCCUCGGCUAACUACGUGCCAGCAGCCGCGGUAAUACGUAGGGGGCAAGCGUUAUCCGGAUUUACUGGGUGUAAAGGGCGCGUAGGCGGGAUGGCAAGUCAGAUGUGAAAUCCAGGGGCUCAACCCCUGAACUGCAUUUGAAACUGUCGUUCUUGAGUACUGGAGAGGUUG
rnacentral:rRNA from 1 species